AGCCCGAUGUUGUAGUCUGGAUGCAAUCCACUCUGAUAAGGUGGCAGCAAAGGUUCGAAUCCUUUUCGGGCUA
rnacentral:tRNA from 1 species